AACGAACGCUGGCGGCAGGCUUAACACAUGCAAGUCGAGCGCCCCGCGCGGGGAGCGGGAGACGGGUGAGUAAGGCGUGGGAACGUACCCUUUGCUGCGUAAGCGCUCCGGCAGAGUGGAAUGAAUACCUAAUGUGCCCGACGGGGGGAAGAUUUAUCGACAAAGGAUCGGCCCGCGUUGGAUUAGCUAGUUGGUGGGGUAAGGGCCUACCAAGGCGACGAUCCAUAGCUGGUCUGAGAGGAUGAUCAGCCACAUUGGGACUGAGACACGGCCCAAACUCCUACGGGAGGCAGCAGUGGGGAAUAUUGGACAAUGGGCGCAAGCCUGAUCCAGCCAUGCCGCGUGAGUGAUGAAGGUCUUAGGGUUGUAAAGCUCUUUCACCGGAGAAGAUAAUGACGGUAUCCGGAGAAGAAGCCCCGGCUAACUUCGUGCCAGCCGCCGCUGUAACAC
rnacentral:rRNA from 1 species